rnacentral:misc_RNA from 1 species
AAAGGAACGCUGGUUCAGCCAGCACCCUCCAACCCAUUGCGUACCCACCUUGUUGCCUCGGCGUGCCUGCGCCCUCGAUGGCGCUGCCGGCUCAGGCUGGACGGCGCACGCCAGAGGAAUCGUAAACUCCAGCUUAACAAAUGGCGUCUGAGUCUAAUCAAAUACGUUA